UUCAUCCAGAGAUAAGAAGAAUGAGACAAA
rnacentral:piRNA from 1 species